GCGCUUUACAUUAGAAACAAGGGUGGGCUCGAUUUUUGACUUACUGUGGAGAGAAUAAGUCAUUUUCUGAACUUCUGCUGAUUUGCUUGAAAAAAGCACGUACAUGUCUGGAGUUUGGAUCCAAAAAUCGAUUUUUAAACAUGAAAAUCUCAACCCAAGUGCUGUUAUCAACAUUACCAAAUUCAGUGAAAAUGGACAGAAAUAAUCCCCUUCAAACAUAAAAAUGUUCACUCGAAUGGCAAACUAUAAAAAAUAGAAUGGCAUGACAUUCUGUAGUUAAAGAAUAG
rnacentral:lncRNA from 1 species